ACGGCUCAGUAACACGUGGAUAACCUACCCUAAGGUGGGAGAUAACCCCGGGAAACUGGGGAUAAUACCCCAUAGUCUAUGGAAGCUGGAAUGCUCUAUAGUUGAAAGAUUUAUCGCCUUAGGAUGGGUCUGCGGCCGAUUAGGUAGUUGUUGGGGUAACGGCCCAACAAGCCUUUGAUCGGUACGGGUUGUGGGAGCAAGAGCCCGGAGAUGGAUUCUGAGACACGAAUCCAGGCCCUACGGGGCGCAGCAGGCGCGAAAACUUUACAAUGCGGGAAACCGUGAUAAGGGAACUCCGAGUGCCCGUAAACGCGGGCUGUCCAUCUGCUUAAAAAACAGGUGAAGAAAGGGCCGGGCAAGACCGGUGCCAGCCGCCGCGGUAAUACCGGCGGCUCGAGUGGUGGCCACUAUUACUGGGCUUAAAGCGUCCGUAGCUUGGUUGUUAAGUCUCUUGGGAAAUCUGUCGGCUUAACCGACAGGCGUUUAAGGGAUACUGGCAAUCUAGGGACCGGGAGAGGUGAGAGGUACUCCAGGGGUAGGAGUGAAAUCCUGUAAUCCUUGGGGGACCACCUGUGGCGUAGGCGUCUCACCAGAACGGCUCCGACAGUGAGGGACGAAAGCUGGGGGAGCAAACCGGAUUAGAUACCCGGGUAGUCCCAGCCGUAAACGAUGCGCGUUAGGUGUAUCGGUGACCACGAGUCACCGAGGUGCCGAAGGGAAACCGUGAAACGUGCCGCCUGGGAAGUACGGUCGCAAGGCUGAAACUUAAAGGAAUUGGCGGGGGAGCAC
rnacentral:rRNA from 1 species